GAUGAACGCUGGCGGCGUGCUUAACACAUGCAAGUCGAACGAGGCACCUUGAUUUGAUUCUUCGGAUGAAGAUCUUGGUGACUGAGUGGCGGACGGGUGAGUAACGCGUGGGUAACCUGCCUCAUACAGGGGGAUAACAGUUAGAAAUGACUGCUAAUACCGCAUAAGACCACAGCACAGCAUGGUGCAGGGGUAAAAACUCCGGUGGUAUGAGAUGGACCCGCGUCUGAUUAGGUAGUUGGUGGGGUAACGGCCUACCAAGCCAACGAUCAGUAGCCGACCUGAGAGGGUGACCGGCCACAUUGGGACUGAGACACAGCCCAAGCUCCUACGGGAGGCAGCAGUGGGGAAUACUGCACAAUGGGGGAAACCCUGAUGCAGCGACGCCGCGUGAGCGAUGAAGUAGUUCGGUAUGUAAAGCGCUAUCAGCAGGGAAGAAAAUGACGGUACCUGACUAAGAAGCACCGGCUAAAUACGUGCCAGCCGCCGCUGUAA
rnacentral:rRNA from 1 species